rnacentral:lncRNA from 10 species
GCCGAAGAGGUGGAUGGGAAAGAAAGGAUCGAUGCAUCAGAGCACAGGAUUAAUGCAACGUAUUAAGUGCAACCCUGUAAUCUAAGUGCAGCCCUAUCUGCCUCUCCAGUAACAGCAACCACACACAUUUCCUAGGAGCCAGGAACAGUAACAGCACACAAAAAUUCCAACCAGGAUUAAACUGGAGGUGAAGUCACUGCUGCCCCAUGAUGCCUCACUUCUGAGCUGUCACUGCACACCUCUUUACUGACUCCAACAUGCCAAUUAAAAAGCCUGGCUUGCAGCGGGACAAUAGGCUAGAACGUGGGUUUCAUUCUUUUCCAUCUGAACAAAAGCAAUGUCUUUGCUCCUCGAGCUCCAGGGACUGUGAGGCAGGGGAGCCCUUUUGAAUGGUCCCUGCCACCACACACUUCCCAACUAUCGACACCGGCUAGAUAGGUAACAAAAGGGGAGUCAAAGUUUAUUGUGUGCCUAAAUUUGGAUGAGUUUAUGGUCUCCGUCAGUGCUGCCCGUGGAUAAAGACAGCUGGAAAAGUUGACCCGCUUUAAGACGACCAAAGGUUCUUCAUGGAAGUAAAAGGUUUACUGGCAACACAGGAAAUCCUGAGAGCACUGUCUGGAAAUUUGGACGGGGUAAUAUUCACCUGCCAAGGUUUUCCAUCAGGUCUUGAGAAAGGUCGGUGGGUUUUCUACCCUACUUAACUUUUCCCCAGUUGUGACAGAGUAGCUUUUCUCUUUCAUUCAAGGGAUGUGUGUUGAAAAUCUGUUCUGUACUAGGCAGUGGAUGCACUGAGGAGAAAAAAUAGGGCAGGCCAGGAACACCGAGGCACAGCUGAAUACAUAUUUAUGCCAGUGCAAAGAAACAGAAAACUGGGUUCAUCUUCAUACUGAACUUCAUAUGACUCAGAUCAAAUUUCCUCAGUGAGAGCCCAUUUACAAUAGCCAUUAUGCUGAUGAACAUGCCACCGGCUUCCCCAGUGAAUACCCAAUGAAUACCCAUUUCUGAACUUGCUCGAUAAGAACACGGCUGAAGGUAGAUUCCUACAAGGUAAAUUCCUAUUACUGUCACUUAGGUUGUGGCUUUAGGUAACUGAUAUGUACGUGACAUCACAUUAUCUACGCUACAGUACUUUAAAGCAAAUGACAGAUGUUGUAACAGUUUACAAGAUGACCCAUCUAUAUUUGAUUACUGACAGGCAUGAAUAAUUUACUUCAAUAUUUCAUUAAAAUUGUGCCCUGUUAAUUAGAUGGAGGGUUUUUUGUGACAAAGCACAAACUGCUGGGGUGGGUGGUCUGUGAGGUUGUAGAACAUAAAAGGGCUUUUUAUUCCCCCAGCAGAUGGGGCCCCGCAAGGAUAAAAGAGACUUGAGAGCCACUUAAAUUGGCCUCAGGACCCUCAGUGUUGAAGCUAAGUGCUGGCUGUGGUUAAAUUUAUGUAAAGCGCCUAGCACAGUGCCCGGCACCCAGCAGCUGCCGAGAGCUAUUAGGAUUUUUUUUCCCCAAGUGUUGGGUGUGUGUGGUUAGAAACUUAGUGCCAUUUCCAAGCAGGUGUGACUUUCAGUUAAGUGACUUCCUGAGUUUGUAUGAGAAAUCAUUGGUGAAACCCAGAAUAGAACUCAGAGUCUUUGCAUUCGAUUUCCAAUCCCAUCCCUCUUCUCACUGGGUUGCCUGCCCUCCUUCUGCAUGGGCACCUUUGCCAAGAGAGAAUGAGAUUCUCAAAGCAACUAAAGUCCUCUGGUAGUUUUCAAAUGGCCAGUUCUGUCCUCCUCUCAAAAUAUACUUUGC